CUUCAGUGAUGAUACGAUGACGAGUCGGAACAGAACUCAGUCUGUUCUGUGGGAACCGGUUCAGGUCCACGUUCUGUGGUUCUGCUCCGGUUCCUCAGAGCAGCGAGUUCUUUUCAGGUGAAGACAGAUUCGAGGCAUUUGUCUGAGAAGG